UACGAGGGGUGCAAGCGUUGCUCGGAAUUAUUGGGCGUAAAGGGUAGGUAGGUGGUCUCAUUUGUCUGGGGUGAAAGCCUUGAGCUUAACUCAAGAAGUGCCUCGGAAACGGUGAGACUAGAGUCUUGGAGAGGGUUGCGGAAUUCCCGGUGUAGCGGUGAAAUGCGUAGAGAUCGGGGAGGAACACCAGAGGCGAAGGCGGCAACCUGGACAAGUACUGACACUCAACUACG
rnacentral:rRNA from 1 species